rnacentral:rRNA from 1 species
GACGAACGCUGGCGGCGUGCCUAAUACAUGCAAGUAGAACGCACAGUUUAUACCGUAGCUUGCUACACCAUAGACUGUGAGUUGCGAACGGGUGAGUAACGCGUAGGUAACCUGCCUGGUAGCGGGGGAUAACUAUUGGAAACGAUAGCUAAUACCGCAUAAUAUUAAUUAUUGCAUGAUAAUUAAUUGAAAGGUGCAAUUGCACCACUACCAGAUGGACCUGCGUUGUAUUAGCUAGUAGGUGAGGUAACGGCUCACCUAGGCGACGAUACAUAGCCGACCUGCGAGGGUGAUCGGCCACACUGGGACUGAGACACGGCCCAGACUCCUACGGGAGGCAGCAGUAGGGAAUCUUCGGCAAUGGACGAAAGUCUGACCGAGCAACGCCGCGUGAGUGAAGAAGGUUUUCGGAUCGUAAAGCUCUGUUGUAAGAGAAGAACGGGUGUGAGAGUGGAAAGUUCACACUGUGACGGUAUCUUACCAGAAAGGGACGGCUAACUACGUG